rnacentral:rRNA from 1 species
UGCAGUCGAACGGCAGCGCGGGAGCAAUCCUGGCGGCGAGUGGCGAACGGGUGAGUAAUACAUCGGAACGUGCCCAAUCGUGGGGGAUAACGCAGCGAAAGCUGUGCUAAUACCGCAUACGAUCUACGGAUGAAAGCAGGGGAUCGCAAGACCUUGCGCGAAUGGAGCGGCCGAUGGCAGAUUAGGUAGUUGGUGAGGUAAAGGCUCACCAAGCCUUCGAUCUGUAGCUGGUCUGAGAGGACGACCAGCCACACUGGGACUGAGACACGGCCCAGACUCCUACGGGAGGCAGCAGUGGGGAAUUUUGGACAAUGGGCGAAAGCCUGAUCCAGCCAUGCCGCGUGCAGGAUGAAGGCCUUCGGGUUGUAAACUGCUUUUGUACGGAACGAAACGGUCUUUUCUAAUACAGAAGGCUAAUGACGGUACCGUAAGAAUAAGCACCGGCUAACUACGUGCCAGCAGCCGCGGUAAUACGUAGGGUGCAAGCGUUAAUCGGAAUUACUGGGCGUAAAGCGUGCGCAGGCGGUUAUGUAAGACAGUUGUGAAAUCCCCGGGCUCAACCUGGGAACUGCAUCUGUGACUGCAUAGCUAGAGUACGGUAGAGGGGGAUGGAAUUCCGCGUGUAGCAGUGAAAUGCGUAGAUAUGCGGAGGAACACCGAUGGCGAAGGCAAUCCCCUGGACCUGUACUGACGCUCAUGCACG